rnacentral:rRNA from 1 species
GACAGAGGUGCCGAGCGUUAGGCGGAAUCACUGGGCUUAAAGCGUGUGUAGGCGGGUCGUUAAGUGCCUUGUGAAAUCCCACGGCUCAACCGUGGAACUGCUUGGCAUACUGGCGAUCUUGAGCCAUCUAGGGGCAGUCGGAACAAGUGGUGGAGCGGUGAAAUGCGUAGAUAUCACUUGGAACGCCAAUGGUGAAAACAGACUGCUGGGGAUGAGCUGACGCUGAGACACGAAAGCCAGGGGAGCGAACGGG